UAAUUAGGACCUCCUUAUUCGUUAACGUUUGCUGCUGGGUUUAAGAGUCAGUAAAAGGUCGGUUCGCCUUUUUUGAUUUUAUUUGGUUACAGUUGUGUUAGUUUUGUGUCACCACGGAAACGCCUGCAGACUGGCUUUAUCAUAAAUGUAAACAAGUGAACUGUAAGUAUCAGAGAAAAGCUGCUGGAUCGUUUCGGUUUGGAUUCCUUCGUUUUAAAUGCUUUUUGAUCAUUGAGCCCUUUUCGCACUGCAGGGUCCGGCACGCUUCGGUCCGAUUCCACCCGUACUGCAACCCUGUUGUGUUAGCAUAUAAAUGAGGGCGGCAUCGAAGCUGUACCUGACGUCAUUAUUUUUUAAACUAAACAAUGAUUUCGAUGUAGCGGCAGAAGUCCUUUCCUCAAAGAGGCGCCGGAAAACUUUUUCUUUCCUCGUUGACCGAUCUAGUUCAUUCUGUACUCGUUCAUCAGAGUAAGCGGAGGAGAAAAAUGACCUCAUCAUGCGGCCAGGAUACCUACAAAAGAGACAGAAGAGGUUCCUUUGACCUGAACCUAAACCUAAACAGAGGAUAGAUGAGAUAUAUGACUUCUUAAAAUCAUGGGAUGCUUCAGAGGAAGUCAUACAACGACUGCAAAAGGAUAAGAUUGACUCAUUCAAGUGGUGCUUCCUGAUGGAAGGCGAGAAAAGGCUGUUGAUGAUGGAGGAGUUUUGAGAGAUGUCCUCUCUGAGUUUUGGCAGGACUUUUAUGAACAGUGCACAAUGGGCAAUAACUUUAAGGUGUCCUACUUGCGUCAUAAUUUUGGACAGCAACAAUGGGAAAGCAUUGGCCGAAUUAUUGCCUUUGGUUGGCAAAAACAGAAGUACCUGCCUAUAAAACUUGUCCCAGUAAUACUGGAACAAGCAGUACUUGGUUCUAUAAAGAGUCCUCUUAUUGAUAGCUUCCUAAGGUAUGUUACAGAGUACGAUCGAAUGGUGUUUGAAUCUUGCCUUUCAGAUUUUCAGACUGUUGACAGAGAAGAGCUUCUGGAAAUCAUGGAUAUCCAUAACUGUCAAAGAGUACCAACAGCUGAUAACAUUGAGCUACUACUUGAGGAGCUUGCCCACCAAAAGCUCAUUCAGGAACCUGCCUUUGUUAUUGAGCAGUGUAGCACUGUCCUUUCCCCGCUGARGUCAGAGAUGGAAAGUAUUACAGCUGCAUAUGAAAAUCUCCAGCCAACAUUAAGAAAGGUUAUACAGUCAAUUUUAUACCCUGCAGUCAUGAAUGCACAGCAGAAAAACAUCAGCAAAUAUUUAAGUUCUUAUCUCAGAGAAUCAGACUCACAACACCUGUCACUUUUUCUUCGGUUCUGCACAGGAUCUGAUUUGUUUCUUCAAAAAACUAUCAGGGUUAGCGUCACUCAACUUCAAGGUAUUCAGAGAUGGCCAGUUGCCCACACAUGCGAUUGCUACCUAGAGUUGCCAGUUAAUUAUGGUAACUAUCCAGAGUUUCGACACAAAAUUAAUAAGGCCCUAGAAAGUAGUGCAUGGGUGAUGGAUAUAGUGUAACAGACUUCAGCUGAAGAACAUAUGAGUUUAAGGAAUCUUUUUGUAUUAAACUUUCAAAGUUUAGCAUUAUCUUAAAAACUGUUUUUUAGCUCAUCUUAACUCCAGAGUGUUUCUACUUUUUGCAAUUUAUUAUUCUCUGGAGUAUUUAUGAGACCUGCCGUGUCUUAGUAGGCACCCUCCUACUAGUGUUUAUGCUUUUUUUUUCUGUUAAAGUACUCCAACGUUAAAGCUUAAAGCAUAAAUUUGAGUAGGCAGUAAAAUGUAUUUUCUCAAUAUUUUGGGUUUAAUAAAUUUAAAGAUUUUGUAUUGUUACUAGAAUUCUUUUACUUUUAAUUAUUUUACUUGAGGCUGCAAAUGCUGGUUUAUUCCGCAAUUGAAUAUACAAUAUGGCCGCUCUUAGUUGCAGCUCUUAGUUGUAUAAAUAAUUUCUGAUGUUUUGUUUCUUAUAUUAGUCACAUCAUUUAAAUGUUCAGUGGAUGAAUAUGUUGCUACUCUGUUUGAAUGUAGUUCUGAAAGAAAUGGAGUAAAGUGUUUUAUUUACCCUUAUUCAUGAAAACUUUUCUUUUGUUUACUCAGCAUUUUAUUUAUAUCGCUGUUAUUAGUAACCAUAACCUUAAAAUAUUUUCAAUAACAGAUUGGUGCCAUUGCAGUAGCUCAAUAUUAGAUUUAACCAGAAAACAACUGAAAAAGAACACAUUUUUCUUUCUUUUUUUACACCUUGAAGCAUUGUCAUUAUCUUAAAUAAUUA